UGAGAAGCAAAAGAAAAGAAGAAAUCGGUUCUUCUUAGCUGAAAUGAAAAGAAGAAGAAAGGAAUGAAGCUAGAAAGGAGAGGGCAGCUGCAUGUAGUGGAAAACCAUGGAAUUUGUUUGCUUAGAAGUUAAAAUUUUCAAGUAGAAGGCUAACAAGGUAGGAGAAGGUGGUAGUAGACAAGGGAAAGAGCAAAUUGAAUAGGUGGAAUCGGUGUUGGGAACCUUGCUUAAGAGCAAAGAGGAUCAAAGUCGGAUAGGGGAAAAGAGAGUAAACGAAUAGCCGUGGACAUCUAAUCGUCGACCACUCCCGAGGUAAGUU